GAUAGAAUAAUGUAGGUAAGGGAAGUCGGCAAAUUAGAUCCGUAACUUCGGGAUAAGGAUUGGCUCUGAAGAUUGAGAUAGUCGGGCUUGAUUGGGAAACAAUAACAUGGUUUAUGUGCUCGUUCUGGGUAAAUAGAGUUACUAGCAUUUAUGUUAGUUACUUGUUCCCCGGAUAGUUUAGUGAA
rnacentral:ncRNA from 1 species